AGUAAUUUAAUGCUUACUCGUUCGUUCUAGGCUUAUUUUGAUAUUACAUUCUACGGAAUCUGCACUUCUGCAAUAAAUACUGAUAACGAAAAGACGAGAAUUUUAUUCCUCAAACCGCCUUUUAAAAAAUAUUAUUUUCAUAAUACAAAAGCUGAAAAUGCAUUUCCCACUUCCAUGAAUAAUUCCAAUUUCUAGAUUCAUUUAUUACGAUCAAUUUUCCAUUCCUAAAAAUAUUAAAAACGAAGAAAAACAAAAGUUUCCGUUACGUUUUGAUUUUCUGUUUACUUUUCAAACCCUCCACGCUGCGCGCACCUUGAGCUAAACGCAGUAAGGUGUUUUUUGUACAAGUAUUACUCCGCCAUUUUAUUUCAGUCGUUUGGGAAACACUCUUAUGUUGCAUACGAUAUGUAUGUACUAAAAUUUUAUUAAUUAAUACGAUAUUUUGCAUUUAUAUUUAUUAAAAUGUUUCGUAAAUUCGAUUUCAAAUAAUAUUACGCUCGAUUAUUCGGUAAUAUUGUCGCGAACGUGUUGUUUUCUCGGAACUAUGUUUUUGUAAUUGUGAUCGAGUCGUCAACGACCAUUUUGAUUUUUGAUCAGUUAGCUUAAUUUUCUUGUCGACUCUUGUAAGUACGUCGCCGACUUUUCCGCGAAUAAUUCUAGUUAUUCGUGACAUUUUGGUAAUAUUUUUAGCUAAUUUUUUGCAGUUCGGUGCCUCGAAGUGAACUGAAAGUAAUAUACGAUUCGAUCUUUUCUCUUUGUCGGUGUUUUUGAUUAAAGAAGUGCGUACGUAGAUAAUUCGUUUGCAGUUGCGACGGUUUGUUUUUCACGACUUUUUUCUCGUAAAUUUUCUUCGGUUUUUUCAUGAUUACAAAGUGAUUCGAUCUAAAUACGGUAUCGGUGAUCUACGUAGUGUUUUCGCGUAUUCUAGUUUCCGGUUGGUUUUGACGGCGUAAAUGUUAUGUAUUUUGAUCUCGUAGUACAUAUAUUCGAUGCGUACGUGUUUUCCGGCGCCCAGUAGUCUAACAGUUCGAAGCUGUUUCACCGUGAUUUCCAGUCGAUUUUCUUCGUUUAAUCGUGCGGUGUUCUGUGUCAACGAUCAACGAUCUUUUUGCGUACGUGUUGCCUGGCGUCCAACGGUUUGCCAUAUCUUGCUGCUGUUUUAUACGAUCAUUUCUCGGUUUCCUUCGGUUAAUCGAUUCAACCAUAAAGUGUUUCGAUGGGCACGAGUGUCGAAUUGUUACAUUUUUUGGUGGAUUCGUGCGACAUCAUGACUGUUAUCAUGAUUUUUAUACGAGAAUCAUUCAGAUUAGAUAACACGUACCUACCUACUUAUAAAACGUGAUCAAGUUCUCUUGUUUAUCUCAGAAUGUGAAUUCGUAGCGUAGCUCAGAUCAGAACAAAAAGGUGUUUGAUAUCUCCGUGAUAAGUGGUACCUACAGUUGGCAGGGUCAGUUUUUUUGGAAAAAAAUCGUGGAUAUUCGGUACAUAUUGCGUGUUCAAAAUGCCACAAAUAUUCGCCAACUAUACUACUCAUCUCAUUAGACAAUGGACAUCAUAGAUUUCUACCAUAAAGUACGAUCGUAUACUCUGAAAUUGGACGAUGUAAUCAUUUUAUUUUGUGAAAAUAUUAAUGUUAUUGUUAUAAGUACUUUACCUAAUUUGAAAAUGUAUUUUGUAAUUUAUUUUUUCGUGCCCAAAUAAUUCUGUGUGGCAUUAUGUACCUGAACCUAUGAAAUGCAUAAUUAUUAUCUUGACUUGUAAGAGUAUCCGGAUACUUGGGUAGAUUUAAGGAGUACCUGUUAGAUUGGUAAUUAUCGUAGGUACCUAUUUAUAUGAUGUAUUCUUGAUUGCAUUCAUUAUUUUUCAUGUCAUGUUUAUGUAUUGUAUGUAAUUGCAUAAUGUUUUACUAAUACUUUUUUCAUAGCAGAAUUAUAUGAAGAUUCAUAGAUCGUGUAGAUCUAUUGAUGGCAGAAAGGUAAGUGGAUAUUGAGUUACCUACUUUGAAUACGCGUGUUCGUUUUUUCAAAAUUUGAUUGAAAAAAGUUGAAUGAUCAGUGCCCAUAUUUUUUGAUACUGAAUUGUUUUGGAUAUUGAGGCUUCGAUGAAAAAUAUUUUUCAGUAAACUGCAAUGUCUCUUCCAAAAUUGUUCUUACAGAAAUGAUUUUUAAAAAAUUCAUUUUUAAAUAAAUAAGAAAAGUUGUACGUAUUUAAAUGAUAAUCAAAGAGCAAAGGAUACGUAUACGUAUAUAUCUAUUGAAAUUGUAAUAUUUUAAAUCAUUUUAAUGUGAUCGAAAUUGAGAAUUUUGGACCAAAGUUCUCUGCUGAGUGCUGAGCCAUGAUCAUUUUACGUUAUUCAUUCGUAAUAUUUUAGGAUGAUUUACGAAUAUGAUGGAAAUAAAAAUUAGAAUGCAGAAAUAAAGUUAUCACAGUACCUAAUUGGUAAAAUAAUUUAUAGAAGAAUUAUCUAAGGUAGUUAGGUACGUUUUUGAAACGGCCAAUAAACUUAAUUCAUCGAGAUGACGAUGCCUACCUGUACCUACCAAUGAAGAAGUUAAUCAAAUCAAGAAUAAGAAUAACUUAGAUCAAUAGUAAAUUGAAAACGUAACGUGAACGAAGACCGGUAGGUAAAAGA